rnacentral:rRNA from 1 species
GAUGAACGCUGGCGGCGUGCCUAAUACAUGCAAGUCGAGCGAACAGACGAGGAGCUUGCUCCUCCGACGUUAGCGGCGGACGGGUGAGUAACACGUGGAUACCCUACCUAUAAGACUGGGAUAACUUCGGGAAACCGGAUCUAAUACCGGAUAAUAUAUUGAACCGCAUGGUUCAAUAGUGAAAGACGGUUUUGCUGUCACUUCUAGAUGGAUCCGCGCCGCAUUAGCUAGUUGGUAGGGUAACGGCUUACCAAGGCAACGAUGCGUAGCCGACCUGAGAGGGUGAUCGGCCACACUGGAACUGAGACACGGUCCAGACUCCUACGGGAGGCAGCAGUAGGGAAUCUUCCGCAAUGGGCGAAAGCCUGACGGAGCAACGCCGCGUGAGUGAUGAAGGUCUUCGGAUCGUAAAACUCUGUUAUUAGGGAGGAACAAAUGUGUGAGUAAAUAUGCACGUCUUGACGGUACCUGAAGAGAAAGCCACGGCUAACUACGUG